rnacentral:rRNA from 1 species
AUGCCGAUCGAGCUGCCGAGGGGGCUGCCCUUCGCGGUGGACACUUGGACCCCCGCCUCCGCCCUCAAGCGCCACCGCUUCCUCACCCAUGCCCACCGCGACCACCUCGCCGGCAUCACCACCACCAGCGCCGCCGGCGCCGUCUACGCCUCGCGCCUCACCGUCCUCAUCUCCCGCCACAUCUUUCCUCAGGUAAGCAGCAACCUACAUCUCAUCUCUCCCCGCCUGUACCUUGUUCGUUUCUUUUCACCUCAUCUCCAUUCCCGUGUUUCGGAAAAUUUCCCCUCUCCAAAGCUUGGGGCGGACGCGUUCGUGGAGAUCGAGCUCGGCGCGCCGGUGCUCGUCCCAGAUCCCGACGGCGACUUCACCGUCACUGCCUUCGACGCCAACCACUGCCCUGGCGCGGUGAUGUUCCUGUUCGAGGGCGCCUUCGGCAACGUCCUGCACACUGGCGACUGCCGCCUCACCCCCGACUGCAUUCAGGGCCUGCCGUUCAGGUACAUCACCGCUGAGGCACCAGGAGCGAACCAGGCGCCACCGUCGUGCCGCAUCGACUACCUCUUCCUGGACUGCACGUUUGCCAAGUGCCCGCUGCAAUUCCCGGCCAAGGAAGCCUCCAUACGUCAGGUGAUCAACUGCAUCUGGGAGCACCCUAAUGCGCCGACAGUGUAUCUCGUGUCCGACAUGCUGGGACAGGAGGACAUACUGAUCGAGGUGUCCAGGGCGUUCGGGUCGAAGAUAUACGUCAACAGGGACAAGAAUUCAGAGUGCUACCACACCCUGUCACUCGUCGCACCGGAAAUCCUCACCGAGGACACGUCCUCUCGCUUUCAGGUGAUCGAAUUCCCCCGGUUGUCGGAGCGGGCAACGGAGAUGCUUGCAUUAGCACGGGCGCAGCAGCAGCCUGAGCCCCUCAUCAUCAGGCCUUCUACCCAGUGGUAUGCGCACUAUGCGGCACCAGAUGCGUCGCUGAAGCAGAAGCCUGCGCUGACGGAGCCUAUGCGGGAUGAGUUCGGGGUGUGGCAUGUGUGCUUGACGAUGCAUUCGUCUCGCGAGGAGCUGGAGCAGGCCCUGCGAUUCCUCCAGCCUAAGUGGGUCAUCUCGACAACACCUCCUUGCCUUGCCAUGGAUCUGGCCUAUGUCAAGAAACACUGCUUCCUGUCCCGGCUAGGCCCCGAUGAUCCCAUCUGGAAGUUGCUCAGAAUACAUCAUGGAAAUGCUACUGUCACAGGCUCACCGCAGGCGGCGAUAACCACAGUAGAAGCCAUUAAGCAGAGCGAGGAACAAGAGUCGGAAGACACUUGUUCUGCUGUUUGCAGCCAGGUAUUACAAGAUUUUGCAAUUGAGGUGGUGCAGCCGGUGACAUUGUUUGGGAGAGCAAGGUUUGGAUUACCUCAGGACUUUGAACUGUGGAAAGACAAGUAUGAGAGUGUUCAAGUGGCCGAGGAGGUCAAAUUUGAGGAGGAAUUGCAGAAUUCAAAUGUAAAAUCCUUCGAGCUAUGGAAGGACUUCAAAUCUGACAAGGGCACUGCCCACAUGAUUGAUUUAACUCAAGCUGUAACAAACGAGCUCCAUGGUUCAGCAAUAGAACCUGAGUUGCAGAAGGACUGUGAAUCCAUCGACGGCAUUCAAGUAAUCGACAUUACUCAUGGUGAAGUGCGUGAGCACAGCUCGGGACGGCUGUGCUGA